AGGUCACUGCUAUCGGUGUUCGAUUAAGCCAUGCGAGUCGUGAGGGGUAAAGCCCUCGGCGGAGUGCUCAGUAACACGUGGACAACCUACCCAAGAGUCAGGGAUAACCCCGGGAAACUGGGGAUAAUACCUGAUAGGCCAUGACAUCUGGAAUCGAGUUGUGGUUUAAACGUAAGGCUCUUGGAUGGGUCUGCGGCGGAUUAGGUUGUUGCCGGUGUAACGUACCAGCAAGCCUGUAAUCCGUACGGGUUGUGGGAGCAAGAGCCCGGAGAUGGAUUCUGAGACACGAAUCUAGGCCCUACGGGGCGCAGCAGGCGCGAAAACUCUACAAUGCAGGCAACUGCGAUAGGGGAACAUCGAGUGGCAUCCACCAUGGAUGUCUGUCCAAUCGUCUAAAAAACGAUUGUCAGCAAGGGCCGGGCAAGACCGGUGCCAGCCGCCGCGGUAAUACCGGCGGCUCGAGUGGUGGCCGAUAUUAUUGAGUCUAAAGGGUCCGUAGCCGGCUUUGCAAGUCCUAUGGGAAAUCCAGCGGCUUAACCGUUGGGCUUUCAUGGGAUACUACAUUGCUUGGGACUGGGAGAGGUAGGAGGUACUCAGGGGGUAGGGGUGAAAUCCUGUAAUCCUUUGGGGACCACCGGUGGCGAAGGCGUCCUACCAGAACAGGUCCGACGGUGAGGGACGAAAGCUAGGGGCACGAACCGGAUUAGAUACCCGGGUAGUCCUAGCCGUAAACGAUGCUCGCUAGGUGUCACGGCAGUCGUGAAUUGUCGUGGUGCCGUAGGGAAGCCGUGAAGCGAGCCACUUGGGAAGUACGACCGCAAGGUUGAAACUUAA
rnacentral:rRNA from 1 species